AGAGAGAGAGAGUGGUUCUGCUGAUAGAGGCGAAGCACUUGCCAUGGGAAGGUUACACAGACUGGAAGGAAGAGAAGGCUUUUCCAGGCUCACAGUGAUUUGCAAGUGAAUGUGGUGGGAGGGGAAGAAAGAAAGGAGGGCUUUCUAUGGAAGACUCCCUCCUCCUGCUCCUGACAGAAUGGCACUCUUCUGCUUCAAGUCCAAGACAGAGUCAGCCAUGUGAAGUCCUGCAGAAACUACAGGCGUUCCCAGCAAAGCCUAUUCUGCUUCUGUUUCAUAAAGGCACCAGACCUGCACACUUUCUCUCCGUUGCAUGAGGUCAAAGCAGCCUCUUCAAGCAACAGCUACCGCAGCUCAGGACUGGGAGUUAGCGAGCAAUGAAUUUAGGAAAUAUGGCACACCUGCAACAGAAAAAGGAUCAAGGACUGAGAGCUGCUAGGGCAAUUCUGGUCCCCUGGGAGAUACUGCCUGACCCUUCAGUUGCCGGUGCAGGCAAAGAAACUGGAUGAGCUACAGUCAUGACAAUGAACAUUUCUGCCAUAAUUUGUGAUAUAUCUGUUUGUGACGUAUAUGUAACAGUGAAUGCCCUGGAUAUGGUGAAUGCUAAGACUCAUAUAUGAAUGUUGAUGCCCCAGGAUAUCUUGAAAAAUUGUCACAGCCCUAAUUCCCCCCUCCCUUUCAGACAUGCCGGUGAAUGUCAGUAGGUAGCAUGGAGCAAAUGCUAAAUGUUAGCUAUCAACAUUUACUAGUAUGUCUGAUAAGGGGGGCAAAUUAGGGCUUCACUGCAUAUUUAUUUAUUUU